rnacentral:lncRNA from 1 species
CCUUGGGGAAGCUGCCCUGAAGCUCAGUUUCUGUUUUUUCAGUCUGCUGGGAUGAGGGGAAAAUAUGGGCUCACCUCCCAGAGACAGGUUCAGAAGCAGGGCCAGCCUUCUACAGAAACAGAGACAGCAGUCUUACCUGGUACUGUUUUGCAGGGAUAAGGAAGGGAUAUCUCUUCUGGAAUCUCCUCAUCAAAGAAGGUGGGAGCUGGAAGGUACAGGUGGGUGCUCUGCCUGGCUACCUACUACUUACAGGACCUUGAAGCCAUCGAAAUCCAGUGGCAAGUUAAAAGUCAGGAGAACUGUAAUGGCACCUUUGACGAUGUCUGCUCUACACACUCCACAAUGCCUGCUUCAGCCCCUUCACGGCCAUUGUAAUAAAUUGUUCUCAUCGGCUCGUUUCAACAGGGGAGAUCUUUGCAUGCUUGGGAAGGACAGCCCCCUCACUCAUGGACAGGUUUAAGGUGAGAGUUGGCUGAGAGGUGGACACGAAAGGUGGAUGAGCAGCCCUGAAUUUGGAAGAGAGAAGGGUUUGAAAGUGAAGAUAAUGAUCUCAAUUUUGGACACAUUCAGCUUAAGAUGUCCCAGUAUUCAAUGCGAAGUCUACUGCCACCCACAAAGAAGAUGAAAAGGUCAAAUCUAAUGGUUAACACUGAUGGUUCAUGCUCAUAAUUACAUUUAAAGUUUUCCUCACAACAAUCCUAUA